rnacentral:rRNA from 1 species
UCUGGGACAAGCCCUGGAAACGGGGUCUAAUACCGGAUGACACUUUCUCUCGCAUGGGAGAAGGUUGAAAGCUCCGGCGGUGCAGGAUGAGCCCGCGGCCUAUCAGCUAGUUGGUGAGGUAGAAGCUCACCAAGGCGACGACGGGUAGCCGGCCUGAGAGGGCGACCGGCCACACUGGGACUGAGACACGGCCCAGACUCCUACGGGAGGCAGCAGUGGGGAAUAUUGCACAAUGGGCGAAAGCCUGAUGCAGCGACGCCGCGUGAGGGAUGACGGCCUUCGGGUUGUAAACCUCUUUCAGCAGGGAAGAAGCGAAAGUGACGGUACCUGCAGAAGAAGCGCCGGCUAACUACGUGCCAGCAGCCGCGGUAAUACGUAGGGCGCAAGCGUUGUCCGGAAUUAUUGGGCGUAAAGAGCUCGUAGGCGGCUUGUCACGUCGGUUGUGAAAGCCCGGGGCUUAACCCCGGGUCUGCAGUCGAUACGGGCAGGCUAGAGUGUGGUAGGGGAGAUCGGAAUUCCUGGUGUAGCGGUGAAAUGCGCAGAUAUCAGGAGGAACACCGGUGGCGAAGGCGGAUCUCUGGGCCAUUACUGACGCUGAGGAGCGAAAGCGUGGGGAGCGAACAGGAUUAGAUACCCUGGUAGUCCACGCCGUAAACGGUGGGAACUAGGUGUUGGCGACAUUCCACGUCGUCGGUGCCGCAGCUAACGCAUUAAGUUCCCCGCCUGG